UUGCGACCAAAGGUGCGAUUCCGGUACGGGACGGGCCUCCGUGGUAUCAGCUUGUUGGCGGGGUAAUGGCCCACCAAGGCUAUGACGCCUACCGGGCGUGCGAGCGUGGCCCGGCACACUGGGACUGAGACACUGCCCAGACUCCUACGGGAGGCUGCAGUCGAGAAUCUUCGGCAAUGGGCGCAAGCCUGACCGAGCGACGCCGCGUGGAGGACGAAGGCCUUCGGGUUGUAAACUCCUGUCGAGGGGGAGGAAC
rnacentral:rRNA from 1 species